rnacentral:rRNA from 1 species
AUAUCAAUAAGCGGAGGAAAAGAAACCAACAGGGAUUGCCUCAGUAACGGCGAGUGAAGCGGCAAAAGCUCAAAUUUGGAAUCUCAGUCUUUCAGGCUGCGAGUUGUAAUUUGAAGACGUAUUUUGAAGUAAGCACAUGUCGAAGUUCCUUGGAACAGGACGUCACAGAGGGUGAGAAUCCCGUGCGAUGUGUUCACUGCUUCAUGUAAAAUGCAGUCGAAGAGUCGAGUUGUUUGGGAAUGCAGCUCUAAGUGGGUGGUAAAUUCCAUCUAAAGCUAAAUAUUGGCGAGAGACCGAUAGCGAACAAGUACAGUGAUGGAAAGAUGAAAAGAACUUUGAAAAGAGAGUGAAAAAGUACGUGAAAUUGUUGAAAGGGAAGGGCUUGAGAUCAGACUCGGGCAACCGGGCCAGCAUGGGGUGGGGGAGUAGGAUAACCCUGCAGGAAAGUGGCUUCGCUUCGGUGGAGUGUUAUAGCCUGUAGCUAUACUGCUACCCUCGCCCGAGGACUGCGGAAACAAGGAUGCUGGCAUAAUGAUCUUAAGCCGCCCGUCUUGAA